rnacentral:rRNA from 1 species
GGCUACACAUGCAGUCGAGCGGUAGCACAGAGAGCUUGCUCUCGGGUGACGAGCGGCGGACGGGUGAGUAAUGUCUGGGAAACUGCCUGAUGGAGGGGGAUAACUACUGGAAACGGUAGCUAAUACCGCAUAAUGUCGCAAGACCAAAGUGGGGGACCUUCGGGCCUCAUGCCAUCAGAUGUGCCCAGAUGGGAUUAGCUAGUAGGUGGGGUAACGGCUCACCUAGGCGACGAUCCCUAGCUGGUCUGAGAGGAUGACCAGCCACACUGGAACUGAGACACGGUCCAGACUCCUACGGGAGGCAGCAGUGGGGAAUAUUGCACAAUGGGCGCAAGCCUGAUGCAGCCAUGCCGCGUGUGUGAAGAAGGCCUUCGGGUUGUAAAGCACUUUCAGCGGGGAGGAAGGCGGUAAGGUUAAUAACCUUGUCGAUUGACGUUACCCGCAGAAGAAGCACCGGCUAACUCCGUGCCAGCAGCCGCGGUAAUACGGAGGGUGCAAGCGUUAAUCGGAAUUACUGGGCGUAAAGCGCACGCAGGCGGUCUGUCAAGUCGGAUGUGAAAUCCCCGGGCUCAACCUGGGAACUGCAUUCGAAACUGGCAGGCUAGAGUCUUGUAGAGGGGGGUAGAAUUCCAGGUGUAGCGGUGAAAUGCGUAGAGAUCUGGAGGAAUACCGGUGGCGAAGGCGGCCCCCUGGACAAAGACUGACGCUCAGGUGCGAAAGCGUGGGGAGCAAACAGGAUUAGAUACCCUGGUAGUCCACGCCGUAAACGAUGUCGAUUUGGAGGUUGUGCCCUUGAGGCGUGGCUUCCGGAGCUAACGCGUUAAAUCGACCGCCUGGGGAGUACGGCCGCAAGGUUAAAACUCAAAUGAAUUGACGGGGGCCCGCACAAGCGGUGGAGCAUGUGGUUUAAUUCGAUGCAACGCGAAGAACCUUACCUGGUCUUGACAUCCACAGAACUUACCAGAGAUGGAUUGGUGCCUUCGGGAACUGUGAGACAGGUGCUGCAUGGCUGUCGUCAGCUCGUGUUGUGAAAUGUUGGGUUAAGUCCCGCAACGAGCGCAACCCUUAUCCUUUGUUGCCAGCGGUUAGGCCGGGAACUCAAAGGAGACUGCCAGUGAUAAACUGGAGGAAGGUGGGGAUGACGUCAAGUCAUCAUGGCCCUUACGACCAGGGCUACACACGUGCUACAAUGGCAUAUACAAAGAGAAGCGACCUCGCGAGAGCAAGCGGACCUCAUAAAGUAUGUCGUAGUCCGGAUUGGAGUCUGCAACUCGACUCCAUGAAGUCGGAAUCGCUAGUAAUCGUAGAUCAGAAUGCUACGGUGAAUACGUUCCCGGGCCUUGUACACACCGCCCGUCACACCAUGGGAGUGGGUUGCAAAAGAAGUAGGUAGCUUAACCUCGGAGUGCUACCCACCUUG